rnacentral:rRNA from 1 species
UACGAAGGGUGCAAGCGUUACUCGGAAUUACUGGGCGUAAAGCGUGCGCAGGCGGUUUCUUAAGUCAGAUGUGAAAGCCCCGGGCUUAACCUGGGAACUGCGUUUGAAACUGGGAGACUUGAGUGUGGCAGAGGGGGGUGGAAUUCCACGUGUAGCAGUGAAAUGCGUAGAUAUGUGGAGGAACACCGAUGGCGAAGGCAGCCCCCUGGGUUAGCACUGACGCUCAUGCACGAAAGCGUGGGGAGCAAACAGG